rnacentral:tRNA from 1 species
GCCAGGGUGGUGUAGUGGUUUGAGCAUUGGCCUAUGACUCUGGAGGCCAGGGUUCAAAUCCAUGCUCACCCA